CAUAAAACUGGAUCAUCCAUUGGGUUUCACUAACCAAUCUCAAGUAUAGCCGUAUGUAACAGUACCGCCAGCGAAGAAUCGAAGAAGAAAUUCCAGCUGGAAAACCGGCCAUACCAAGAGCCCCCUGAAAACAUCAAAAUAAAAUACACUACAGCAUUGCAGCUUCAUUACCAUAAUCCGAUAGUAUAAGACGUUGAAGCUGGUUUCACCACGACGAUAUCCAACAACUCAUCCAUAAUUACCGAGACAGAAUCACCUAAAAUGGAAAUAAACCGAAACUAGUUUAAAUGACCUUGACAGUCGAUCUUAAAGCUAAACGUUUGAAAAUCAGAGACUCGAGUGAAUCUUCAUGUUAAUCAGAAACACAGGAAAUACAUUCAUCAUAGAUAUACAAGACAACAGCCUAAGAAAUAUUCCUACCUCACAGCCGCGAAAUCACAGCAACGAACUGCAAUUUUUACCAAGAAUCAAGACACAAUCACAGCGAAUACCUGAAAAGAAAUAUAAUAAGAUUGAAAAUGCGCUCGCAAAAAAUUUGAUUAACAGGGGAGGAAAAAAAAACGAUCAAAAGGAAGGCAGUUAUAUUCAACAAUGAUUUCAGGAAAACGCUUUGAAAGCUUUCUCAUCAUUUCAAAAAAUAUUAUUAAAGUAAUAAACACUACCCACCUUUCGCUUAACAACACAAGAAAGACGCACCACCAACAGUUCCUAAACAAUGAAAAAGAUGUUAGAUGCUAAUACACGACGGAAAAACUGUGCAAAAGAAAAACAAUAAAUGUUCCUCAUAAAACCAGUUUUGUAAGGGAAAGAUCUGGUAUUUAAUGGAAAACCGUGCACAA